UACAGAGGUCCCAAGCGUUGUUCGGAUUCAUUGGGCGUAAAGGGUGCGUAGGUGGCGCCGUAAGUCAGGUGUGAAAUCUCGGGGCUUAACUCCGAAACUGCAUUUGGUACUGCGGUGCUUGAGGACUGGAGAGGAGACUGGAAUUUACGGUGUAGCGGUGAAAUGCGUAGAUAUCGUAAGGAAGACCAGUGGCGAAGGCGGUCUCUGGACAGUUCCUGACACUGAGGCACGAAGGCCAGGGGAGCAAACGGG
rnacentral:rRNA from 1 species